rnacentral:rRNA from 1 species
GAGGGAAAGGCGAAAAGAACCCCGGCGAGGGGAGUGAAAAAGAACCUGAAACCGUGUACGUACAAGCAGUGGGAGCCCCACCACUAAGCCAGUGGUGAACUCCACAUCCGCAUCCUUUGCUGAGGAUACGGUUAACGGAGCGAAAGCGACGUUCAACCGCAAAACAAGCAGAGGGGGCUUAGUGGUGGGGUGACUGCGUACCUUUUGUAUAAUGGGUCAGCGACUUAUAUUCUGUAGCAAGGUUAACCGAAUAGGGGAGCCGGAGG